CAAGAAAAAAAUCACAAUUUUUCUCUAAAAUUAGCUAUCAAUUUGGAAUAGUAUCCCUAAAAGCAACUGAGCACUUUGAAAUGUGAUUAACUGGAAAUGUUAAAACCAGUCAUGUAAAAGAUUUUCAUAGAAAGUACUGAUCACAAAUACACACCUAGUAGACAAGUAUCUUGUAGACCUCAAGGUUUUCCUUAUAGAGUACAUACACAGAUAUCUGAAGUGAGUGAAUUUCGAAUGUAUGAAUUUCAGAAGAAAGUCUUUUCCUUCACUGCAGUUAUUUUCCCUUCAAGGCAUAAUAAAGCCAUAUAGCUUCUGUGCUACUUACUGUGACUUCUCCAAAUAGAAGCUGACUGUCUCAUCAACUCAAGGCAAAUAGAUAUAUACAGCUGUUUUGUGAUGUGGACUAUUAUCCUUUAGGGCCCUCUAGGGACUGAACUGUAAUUGCCAAAUUUUAUUAUAGCCAGAAGAGAGGGUUAGAAGUGAAAGGUUUUAUUUGACAUCACAGACCACCAAGUGGCUGUGAACGUAUAGGUGGUUGUCACCCCUCUCCUUCCUGUAGUGUGUCAGUCUUCCAUAGAUGAACAAAACAAAAGAGCUUUGCUGGAAUUGCAUAUAUGAAUGAUACAGAUGCAAAUAUGUCCUCAUAAACCAAAAUAUUUCUAAAGCAGAAGUGUAAUUUCUGUGGUGUAAAGAAAUAAAAAAUUAAAAUGAUCUUAACUAUCUCAAAUAUUUAGCUGAUUGGCCAUUACUUGCCAAAAGAGUAGUACUGGCUAGUGAUGAGGGCUGCUUGGUCCAGGUACAGAAUAAGUGAGCGCUACCCUAGACAAGCUGUUGCAUCUUCCUCAUCCUCCGCUCAGAUAGGGAGCAGUCGGCAAAAAGCUGAUGAGCAAGGGGAGAGCAGGAAGGAAGUGGCUGUGCCCUGAAGUCAGAUGGCCAGACAGUUUGCUUCUAAAUCACAGCGAGCAGAAACCAUCCUCCUAUGGAGAGGUCAUAUCGGAUGAAGAUAGCAGUCCUGCUAUGGGAAACACAUGAUCGUUGGUGUUAAAAGGACUUAAGACAGAAUUUUUGUAGCAAGAUUGGCCAAAACCAGGCUAGGUUUUCCUCCGCCCUCAAAAUACUGUCAGGUGAAAAGCAUCACAUGAAGAUGUUGCAACAUAAAGAACUUAUGUUCAUUUGGUUAGUCCAGGAGAAGAGAAUGGCUAAAACCCAGUCCACACAGUGAAAGUCAUGGCAGUGGGCUAGCAUACUUAGGGUCUUGACCAUACCACAGACCUCAGCUGCAAAAAUACACAUAUGGGCUGAAGAAAACUAUCAGAGAUAGAGAAGAGAGCUUCCUCCUCAGGGACCGUUAUUCUAGUGUCUGAAUGUGCCUGGGAUUUGAGAUUCAUAUACGAGUUUUAGCUUGUAUACUCUUGCGUAAUGCAUGAAUCUGUGCCAUCCUCACUCUGUGGCCAGAACCAAUUCAUUGCAGGAGUGGUAGACUCUUACAGACCGUGGGGACUGAUAGAUGGAACCAUUUGGUAAAUGGAGAUGCCCUAAUGAAAGCCUUAGCUCUCAAGUAUAUAAAUGCAGAUGAAACUCUUUUAUCAUGUAAGUGAAGAAAGAGAAAGCCCAGCAAGGACUGUAUUUAAGCUGUUGCCUAUUUUCUGCAGCACAGAAAAUCAAAGCUGAAUUAGUCCACAAGGUCACAUCCUGCUGCUGUUACUGGAGGAAGAAAUACUGGGUGUGCUGGGAAAAAAGAUAUAAGUAUUAGAAAUUGGAAAAACUUUCAUCUUCUAAAUUACUUUAUUAGGCAUUUUGGGAGACUUUAGGGGCAGAAAUAAUUGGACUGAAUUGUAAAAGCAAUGCUGCUUCUGUAACUCUAAACCUGCAAGGGCAUUAGUUCUUUUGUUCAGCUUUUAAUCUUCUUUGUAAGAAAGAAAAUUGCUCUUUUACUAUGUAUGGAGUUUUACAGGAGAAAAAACACUCAGUAAUAGCCCCUCAAUUUGAGCUUCACCAUGAACAAAUAAAUAUACAUUACGCAGAAUUUGCUGUUUGCCAGGGAGGCAGCCCUGUGCUUUCUCUGCUCAGUCCCAGCCUCUGUCUGAGAACUAUCAUCAGCUCCUGCCUGGAAAGGUCAGCAGCUGGGUGCCUAAAGCUCCUUCCAGAAAGGCAGAAAUUGCAAAUGUGAAUCACCUAUAGGAGAGGAAGGAGUUGUAAGUAUGAUGCCUUGGUAAACAUCCUAAAACUGGGUUAUGAUAUAAAAGAGGAACAAAGGAGUCUCAUCCUAGCUGGAUUUUAAGUGAAUCAAUUCUAGUCUUCCAAAAACCAGGGUUGCUGGGAAAAGGUUCAGAGCUGAUUGCAAAGACGACAAAAAUAUUCUCUGAGGCAUUGGAACAGAAGUAAAAGAGACCAGAUUUAAUAUCUUUUGGAUACGUUUAUGCUCCACACAUUACAGAGAAAUGUGAUGAAGGAAGGAUGAGGGAUUGUUAUUAAGUGACAUGGAUAAUGACCUAUAAUGGGAGAUUAUGGUACUUUAAUGUUAAACAUGCUGUCGUUCAUCAAAUGCUUAAGUUGACUAACUUCCUUUCAAAGAGCCUAACAUUGAAGUUUCAGAUGACAGCUGCAAGAGGCAGAUCUAGCAGCUGUGACACAGGUUGACUGGCUGUCUUUGGGCACCUCGCUUUGCUAUAAAGCUGAAUGAGACAGUAGAGGGAAACAGCCUGAGAUUUGUCUUGCCAACUACAGUCUCCACUUCAAGGUAGGAUGACUUGUGUGCUUAACUGUGUGGUCCAUAAUAACCAGAUGCUAUUUCACAGCCAGAGUAACUACUUGGUAUUUAAAUUUCUACAUCACAAACUCCUACUCUUUAGAUGAGUCCCAUCGUUCCUGUCCAACAGUUCUCAUCCCUAUGUUGAAUGGUUUUUAACAGUGCCUUAAUUACAGAGCUCUGAACUCUCUUGGCCCUGCUCACUGUUCUGUAAUAUGGAUAAUAAUUUCUAGGAUGAAAUCUCUUUUUCUGAAUAUAUUUAACAUCUUUUAUAAGAGUCUAAAAUAGAAACUCUGAGAACAUUAACUUAGAGCACUUUUCAAGUUCAUCUUACUUGCAGUGCAUUAAAGUGAAGUGACAAGUGAGGUGUGACGUGAAGUAAUUAUACUGAUUGUGUUGUAUGUGCUCUGCAGGAGCUGAAUGAUUUGCUGAGGAUAUUAAUUUCAAGACAGCAAGAGAUCAGCUGAGAUGAAAGAUCACUGCAAAGUGACCUCACACCAGGGGAAAAGAAAAUGAAGAGGAGGGUGUGGUUCAGAACAGGAAUUCAGUGCUGUAUAGUCUAGCAGUGAACCACAGCAGAUGCAUUUUGACAACAAAUGUGAUCUUCGUGUGACUAUGGUCACGGUCUAUGGAGAGAAGGGGAGCAUAAUUCACCUGGCUUAUUUUAGAUAUCGACAUUGGGAUGUGGUAAAUCAAUAGCCUAGACUCCCAGGUUUAUAAAACUUGGGCAGAAUUUCUGCAGUUAGAGAUGCUUCACUCCCAGGGUCCACAGGUGAAGGGUAGGUGUGUACAAACCUAAAAUGAGCCACCACCUGUCUUAUCUGUACGUAGUCAUGAGCUUGUCUGAUCACGACACCUGUGAUAUUAGAUUUCAUGACAGUGGAAAUUGUAGCUAAGUAGAGACAGCAUACAAUGAGAACAAGUUGAUCAGGACCUUUGUCAACAACAAACACAGUAAACUAAAUUUCUUUGAUCUUUAAAACAAUUUUCAGUCAUGAGAAGUUAAUAAGAAUUUAAAAGCUUUUCUCCAUGAAAUGUUCACUGCUGAAAUCAGUUUUGAAUUUGUGUAGUUAAACUGUUAUACAUCCCUGAACAGAUAAAUUAAGAUUAGUUUAAUCCUGUUGUACUUUGGCUUUAGCUUAGUUUGGCAGUCUAGCAGUGCAACUAAUACUGCUUUCACUUAGAGAUUGUCACUGCUUCACUUUAAUAAACUAAUUAGCAAGACAUAAAGUGAAUCUGAGGGGCUUUGAGAGCCGUGGGCUAGAUCUUCCCCAGGGAACUAAAACCAUUGGUAGGUGGGUGCCAGUUCUCAGUGUAACACAGCAUUAAUGAAGAGGUUGUCAUGAAGCUUGUUUGGGUGGCAUAUUCCUUGAGUCUGCUUAUCUAUGCUCAGAGAAGGAGGAAGGCAGAAGCAAAAGCAUGACCCUGUGCUAACAAGGACCUCCAUCCUUGAUCCAUUCCACACUACUUCAUCUAUCAUCUGUCAGAAGGAAAAAAAAGACUAACUACAUUCGUUUGACUGAAGUGUUGAUUUGGCCAAGAAACAAUGCUCUGUCACAUCCAAACAAAAUGAAAACAAAAAUCUGUAAUCAGCAUAGCCAUCAUAGUUACUGACUCAGACUCUACAGGGCUAAACACAGGCAGUUCCUGAGCUGGAUGCUUGAGGAUCCCUGGACACUUGUAUUUUCAGCUGAUAAGGCUCAGUCUGUACUGAAGAGAAAACUGGCCAAUGGAGCCUAUCCUCUGAAAAGCUAGAAGUCUGGGUGCACCUGAUCCUCACCAGCUGUCAGUGAACUUUUUAGAAAUAGGUCUUUUGUCUCAUCCACCAUGGUGAUGAUAUACCUCCAAUAAAACCAAUUUGGACAAGGGGUUUAGCUUUUUGACUGGUAACAUAGAAGAAAGAAUCAUCUUGCUCACUGAUUAAGGUUCUAUCCUUUUAUGACAUCAUUAACUGCAUCAGUACUCCAACCUCUGCAGUACAGGAACCAUCUCCAGGCCUGCUGUUGAGAAGUGAUGCUUGAUCUGUUUGGUUGGACCAUAAUACAAAGCACAACUGAAUGGUUGAAUUACAAAGACA